rnacentral:rRNA from 1 species
AUUGAACGCUGGCGGCAGGCCUAACACAUGCAAGUCGAGCGGAGCGGCAGACGGGUGCGUAAUGCCUAUGACUCUGCCUGGUCGUGAGGGAGAACGUCCGGAAACGGGCACUAAUACCGCAUACUCUCAGCAUCACCUGGGGCGGAUUAGCUGGGUGGUGGGGUAAAGGCAUACCAAGGCGACGAUCCGUAACUGGUCUUGGAGGAUGAUCAGUCACACUGGAACUGAGACACGGUCCAGACUCCUACGGGAGGCAGCAGUGGGGAAUAUUGGACAAUGGGCGAAAGCCUGAUCCAGCCAUGCCGCGUGUGUGAAGAAGGCCUUCGGAUUGUAAAGCACUUUAAGUUGGGAGGCGUUACCCACAGAAUAAGCACCGGCUAACUCCGUGCCAGCAGCCGCGGUAAUAC